UACGGGGGGAGCAAGCGUUGUUCGGAUUUACUGGGCGUAAAGGGCGCGUAGGCGGUCAGCACAAGUCGGUUGUGAAAUCUCCGAGCUUAACUCGGAAAGGUCAACCGAAACUGUGCGACUAGAGUGCAGAAGGGGCAACUGGAAUUCUUGGUGUAGCGGUGAAAUGCGUAGAUAUCAAGAGGAACACCUGCGGCGAAGGCGGGUUGCUGGGCCGACACUGACGCUGAAGCGCGAAAGCCAGGGGAGCGAACGGG
rnacentral:rRNA from 1 species